rnacentral:lncRNA from 1 species
CUUAAAUAUGAGAGUGAAGAGAAAAAAUGAUAAAUAUCCUGUAGCCUAUAAGAAUACAAGUUAUUGCCUCAUAAUUAUUGCCAGCUAAUAUUUCAGAACUAUAAUAUGCUGAAGUUAAUAUUCAGGCUUUGAAACAGGUGUAUGUUUAUUAACCAGACGUAGCCAAACUGCUAGUCUCAUAAUCCCUAAAGUAACGACUUUCAAUAUUAUUCCUUGCUUAUUCAAUUUCGGCCUUUGUGGCUAUGUCUUAAAACUUACAAUGUAUGGAUUUUCUUGAUAUUAUAUAAGUUCUCUAACUAGAUCUUUUGUCCAUAUGUUUGAUUUAAUUGCAUCCAACUUCCUUCAUGGUCAGAUAAGUGCUAAUGGAAGGAUGAGAACUAAGUAAUGAUGUUCUAGAAGACAAUGUAAUGAAUAAUGUGAGUGAGCCCUUUGCCCUAUGGUUUAUGGAGAGGCCUAAAUGCCAUGGCAAUGAAAAUGUCUGUUACUAUGGCCAAAAACAAUUAGUCCCAAUAAAAUUGGGAAAAGAUUAAAAAUCUUCUGAUGAGUGUUUGGCAAAGUAAUAAUAAUCCAGAUUUUUGUGUUGACAGUUAUGAAGAUAAUAUGUUUUCUACUAAUUCUUUUUGUGUUUCAAUAGCAGAUUGUGAUGACCUUGGACCAAGAGCCAAGUGAGUGAAAGAAAAUUUCCCAGUUACAUUCCUUUUUUUAUAUUAAGAAAGGGGGAAUAUGUGGGAGGCCAACCUUACGGGUGACUGAGUUAUACUCCCCAGCUGGGUGCUGAGGCGCUCAGUCACAGAAAUGGGUGUGUCUUGCUACAGCCCCAUGGGUGAA